AUGAUUUGCUUAAGCUGGAACUACCCGGGGCUUGGGAACACCGAGGCAGUUCGCGAGCUUCGCAGUGUUGUGAAGCAAGAAGGGCCCGCUCUAGUUUUUGGCAUGGAAACAAAGAUUAGAGGGAAACGUGUAGAGAGAUUGCAGUAGACCUUGGGGUUUGCAGGUUGCUUUGCUGUUGACAGCGGCGGAUUAAGUGGAGGCGUUGGACUCUUUUGGUCCAAAGAUGUUAUAGUAGAGCUCAAGAAUUACAGCUCGGCCCACAUUGAUGUAGUGGUGCGCGAUGCUUUGGACACUUCGGUGAAUUGGAGAUUCACUGGUUUCUAUGGAGCGCCAAGAGCAGAAAAUAGGCAUCAUAGUUGGCGCUUCCUUCGUACCCUACAUGCACUCCCGCAUUCAGCAUGGUUAUGUAUGGGUGAUUUUAAUGAGACCCCAUAUGGGGAAGAGCAUUUCAGUUGGACGGCACGACCAGAAUGGCAGAUGAGAACCUUUCGCGAGAUCACCGAUGAGUGUGCGUUCCAGGAUCAGGGUUCGACGGGUGUAGCUUACACAUGGGACAACCGACAAUCUGACAAUGCAAAUGUUAAAGCCCGGCUAGACCGAGCCUUUGCCAAUGAGGAAUUUAGACAGAUUUUCGAGUAUGUUAAAGUGCGCCACAUCUGUUCGGUGGAGUCAGACCACUGCUUUGUGUUAACUGACUUUCGGCACCAAUCCCACAACAACAAUUCACAUACGUCGAAACUGUUCCACUAUGAGAACAUUUGGCAGUCUCAUAGUGAUUACGAGCAACUUGUCACUGAAAACUAG
rnacentral:rRNA from 1 species